GAUGAACGCUGGCGGCGUGCCUAAUACAUGCAAGUAGAACGCUGAAGCUUGGUGCUUGCACCGAGCGGAUGAGUUGCGAACGGGUGAGUAACGCGUAGGUAACCUGCCUCUUAGCGGGGGAUAACUAUUGGAAACGAUAGCUAAUACCGCAUAAAAGUCGAUAUCGCAUGAUAUUGAUUUGAAAGGUGCAAUUGCAUCACUAAGAGAUGGACCUGCGUUGUAUUAGCUAGUUGGUGAGGUAACGGCUCACCAAGGCGACGAUACAUAGCCGACCUGAGAGGGUGAUCGGCCACACUGGGACUGAGACACGGCCCAG
rnacentral:rRNA from 1 species